AGUUGCUGCUUCACCUGCACCGCCACACAAACAGUCUUGAAACAACCCCAUCAUCAGCAGCUGAGUCUGAUCGCCCUUCAUGUAACCUUUCUGAUCACAUCAGAUCACAGUUUGAUUUAAAGUCAGCUACUUCAUCACUCUGAAGAGGAGCUCUCAACACUUCAGGAGGACCAGGAGACCUGAAGAUGGGGAGUUCAGGUUCAACACCAAGAUCAAGCAGAAGAUUGAGCAUAGACCUCCCUACUGUUAUCAGAG